rnacentral:tRNA from 1 species
GGUGGUAUAGCUCAGGGGUAGAGCGCUCGCCUUGAAUGCGAGAAGCCUGGGCUUCGGUUUCCCAAGCCUAGAGCCAUUU